UGGGGAAUAUUGGGCAAUGGGCGAAAGCCUGACCCAGCGACGCCGCGUGAGGGAAGAAGGUCUUCGGAUUGUAAACCUCUGUUGACAGGGAAGAAGAAAGUGACGGUACCUGUAAAGAAAGCCACGGCUAACUACGUGCCAGCAGCCGCGGUAAUACGUAGGUGGCAAGCGUUAUCCGGAUUUACUGGGUGUAAAGGGUGUGUAGGCGGGACGGCAAGUCAGAUGUGAAAUACCGGGGCUUAACCCCGGGGCUGCAUUUGAAACUGCGGUUCUUGAGAGUGGGAGAGGUAAGCGGAAUUCCCGGUGUAGCGGUGAAAUGCGUAGAGAUCGGGAGGAACACCAGUGGCGAAGGCGGCUUACUGGACCAUUACUGACGCUGAGACACGAAAGCGUGGGGAGCAAACAGG
rnacentral:rRNA from 1 species